GAUGAAGAACGUAGCGAAAUGCGAUAAGUAAUGUGAAUUGCAGAAUCCAGUGAAUCAUCGAAUCUUUGAACGCACAUUGCGCCCGCCAGCAUUCUGGCGGGCAUGCCUGUUCGAGCGUCAUUUCAACCCUCGACCUCCCUUUGGGGAAGUCGGCGUUGGGGACCGGCAGCACACCGCCGGCCCUGAAAUGGAGUGGCGGCCCGUCCGCGGCGACCUCUGCGUAGUAAUCCAACUCGCACCGGAACCCCGACGCGGCCACGCCGUAAAACACCCCGACCACGGAGCCCCGGCUCCUGAACGUUGACCUCGGAUCAGGUAGGAAUACCCGCUGAACUUAAGCAUAUCAAUAAGCGGAGGA
rnacentral:misc_RNA from 1 species